AUACUCUGGUUUCUCUUCAAAACGAAUAAAUCUUUUGCCUUUUACUAAAAAUUUCUGUGGAGAGGGACAGUUAUGAGUUGGUAACCAAAUUUUUUGAGGUCUUGCUUAGGCAAGGCU
rnacentral:snRNA from 1 species